rnacentral:lncRNA from 1 species
CAACCAGGGUUCCACCAAGAACCCCUGUCUCAAAAAACAAAACCAAACAAUACAAAAAAGGAAGAGAGCCAAAGGGAGGGGCACAACCAUCUCUCUUUAGUAUGACUUUCCUCAUUGUUUACAGAAUGAAGAAAAUGGGGCCAGAAAGCAAAGCCAAAGCUGUCAGUUCCCAGAGGACCCCAGGCUAGUCCUCAGAGCAGACACCUGUGGAGAGACUGACAGAGUCAUCAUUCCUUGCAUAUCUGAAAAUCCCAGCCAGUGGAAGUCUGGGGGUUCCAUGUUCUGCUGUGAUAACAUCUCUUCAACUCCUCCACUGAUAGCCUUCUCUGAUGGAGUAGACAUCAGAAAGAGCACAAUCAGCAAUUUCCUACCUCACCUGUGCAGCCAGUGGUCAGGACCUCAGACCAAGCAAAACACCUAACUCAGGCCCUGAGCCUCUUAGGACCUUGUGCCCUGUGUGUAUCUUCCUGGAAACUCUCCCGAGCUGUCUGGUGCCUAGAACAGACUAGGAUCUACAGAGCUGUCUGAGAAGGAUCCCAAACCUAGUGCAGAGGCACAGGGUGCUCUCCCUUCACAUUGCUCUCCAAACCUCUAGUCUGCUCGUGUGGUUGAACAGAAAUCCAUGGACCUCCAGGACUGACUGAUACUAAAGGUAUCCCCGGGGGACCACAUUCCAGAACAAUACCCUGGCAACAAAAUGGUUCCAACUGACCCACAUGAUAUUUUUUUUCCUGGGUUCCUGAGAUCAACCUCUGGAACAGUGCAAACAGGUUGAUUUAAGUUUUCUCUCUAUCUCUCUCUUUCUCUCUUUCUUUCUCUCUCUCUCUCUCUGGGUUUUUCUGUUUGUUGAUUGAUUCGUUGGUUUUUGGGUUUUUGAGACAAGGUUAUUUGUGUGGCCUUGGCUGUCCUAGACCUGGCUCUGUAGACCAGGCUGGCUUCAAACCCACACAGAUCCAUCUGCCUCUGCCACUGCCUCUGCCUCUGCCUCUGCCUCUGCCUCUGCCUCUGCCUCU